UACGUAGGGGACGAGCGUUGUCCGGAUUCAUUGGGCGUAAAGCGCGCGUAGGCGGUUCGGUAAGUCGGGUGUGAAAACACGAGGCUCAACCUCGUGCGUGCAUCCGAUACUGCCGGACUAGAGGUAGGUAGGGGAGAUCGGAAUUCCUGGUGUAGCGGUGAAAUGCGCAGAUAUCAGGAGGAACACCGGUGGCGAAGGCGGAUCUCUGGGCCUUACCUGACGCUCAGGCGCGAAAGCUAGGGGAGCGAACAGG
rnacentral:rRNA from 1 species